GCCCCUGUGGCUCAGUGGUAGAGCGGCGCUCUCGUAAAGCGCAGGUCCCGCGUUCAAAUCGCGGCAGGGGCU
rnacentral:tRNA from 1 species